GGGAAAUGUAGUCGCUGCCUCUGUUACACCAUCGUAUACAGUCAAGUCUGUGGGUGGAUCGUCAGUGCCCCAACUCUCAACGCUGCGGCACAUGGUGACGCCAUCAGCGACAGGGGUGUCGUCUCCGAAUGCUGGCACCAUUGUUACUUCAAUAGCAUCUCCAAUGGCAUCCAUUAUCCGAGGCAACACCAUCACUACCACCCAGAUUGGCCACACUGCCUCACAUCAGUUCUCUUCACACGUACCCCGAGGGCCAGCAGCUGUUGCAAGCAUCAACACUGCUCCAAAAUCGGCGCUCGCAACGCCAAUGUUGCGGUCUUCAAUGAGUCAAGCAACCACCAGCA